rnacentral:rRNA from 1 species
UACGUAGGGUCCGAGCGUUGUCCGGAAUUACUGGGCGUAAAGAGCUCGUAGGUGGUUUGUCGCGUUGUUCGUGAAAACUCACAGCUUAACUGUGGGCGUGCGGGCGAUACGGGCAGACUAGAGUACUGCAGGGGAGACUGGAAUUCCUGGUGUAGCGGUGGAAUGCGCAGAUAUCAGGAGGAACACCGAUGGCGAAGGCAGAUCUCUGGGCCGUAACUGACGCUGAGGAGCGAAAGCAUGGGGAGCGAACAGG